UUGAACGCUGGCGGCAUGCCUUACACAUGCAAGUCGAACGGUAACAGGUCUUCGGAUGCUGACGAGUGGCGAACGGGUGAGUAAUACAUCGGAACGUGCCCGAUCGUGGGGGAUAACGGAGCGAAAGCUUUGCUAAUACCGCAUACGAUCUACGGAUGAAAGCAGGGGACCGCAAGGCCUUGCGCGGACGGAGCGGCCGAUGGCAGAUUAGGUAGUUGGUGGGAUAAAAGCUUACCAAGCCGACGAUCUGUAGCUGGUCUGAGAGGACGACGAGCCACACUGGGACUGAGACACGGCCCAGACUCCUACGGGAGGCAGAAGUGGGGAAUUUUGGACAAUGGGCGAAAGCCUGAUCCAGCCAUGCCGCGUGCAGGAUGAAGGCCUUCGGGUUGUAAACUGCUUUUGUACGGAACGAAAAGACUCCUUCUAAUAAAGGGGGUCCAUGACGGUACCGUAAGAAUAAGCACCGGCUAACUACGU
rnacentral:rRNA from 1 species